UUGAAUACAAUGAGUAUGGUCAACUAGUGGGUGGAUCUAGAAGUAAUGUUUCAUCACAGCUUGGAUCAGUUGUUCGAGCAACUGUGUCCAUCAACAUUAACAGUUGGAAAGAUGUUAGUGUGGUGGAUAAAAAUAAAAUAUGGGACACAAUGAAGAAAACUUAUGAUUUGGACCCCAAACAAAAGCAACAGAUGUUGAAGGAUGCGGGAAAGUACUUCCGAAAUUGGAAGACUAAUCUUACUAGGGUACACGUUUACGACGCUUUGAAAAAAUACCCAAAUGAGUUCCCGCCAGCUUUGCCAUUUGGAUUUGAGAAUGUCAUAACUCCGGAUGAAUGGUAAACGUUUGUGAACUCAAGAUUAACUCCCGAGUGGCAAAGAAAGAGAGAGGAGAUGCAAAAUUAUCGAGCACUGAAUAAAUACAAUCACAACCUCUCUAGAGGAGGCUAUGUGCGUAUUGAAGAGAUGUUAAUGGAACAAAGUGGGAAAAGUGUGACUGAACUUGAUAGGGCAGACUUAUGGAGCAUGGGUCGUCAGAAUGCAAAAGGAGAGCUAAUUGGAGAGGCCUCUGAGAUUCAAAAAAAUAUUGAUCAUUACCGGCAACUCCAAGCUGAGGGUAAAUGGGCACCUGAUGGCCCUGAUGAUGUGCUGACGAGGGCGUUGGGCACUCCUGAGCCUCGAGGACGUGUUAGGGCUGGAGGACACGGUGUGUCCCGCUCAGUAUACUGGAAUACUCCAACACCUACCUCAACGAAAAAUAAAUCAAAAGCCU